GUCUAAAACCAUAGCAAAGGAAUGAGAAAAUCAUCUUCCCCUUCCUUGAUCCAAUACUGUUUAAAGUUAAAUCAACAAGCAUUUAUUAAGGUAAUAAGUAGAUGAUGAUGAUGACGAUGAUGUGCUGUGACACGGUCAGAUAUGCAUUUAGGAAGAUCACUUUGGCAGCUGAGUAGAAGAAGAAUGGAGGAGGGAGAGACUUGAGGCAGGGAUGCCAACCAGAAGGAAAUUUCAACAGGUGAUUAAAGCCUGUACCAAGAUAAGAGAGGAGCACAACCAAGAUGGUGGAAAAAAGAUCCAUUCAGCAGAUCACUCUUUGGAACCCUGUUGAAGAAGUCCAGUGACCUCCAUGUACAGUCAACACUUCCAAAUGCAAGAUGUUUUUGAGUCCUAGGAAAUUCUUACUCUAGAUUAAUAAAAAUCCUGCUACACCAUCCAUCCCAU